GCAUGGAGAGCUCAAUGUGUACCAAUGCAAAGGGCUUAUCGAUCACCUCAAGAAAUACAUUCUACCAUUUGCUGGAUUAUGGACCGGGAUAAUGCUAGGUGACCUUGGACGACAUGGGACAGGACCACAAUAUGAGCAGUACUCCAGGAGAUACAAUGCCCUGAGAAAGCUUACAAGACAAAACAUUACACAGGACAAUAAAACUCAAGGAAUAAUGGAAAAGAGCCAGUGGGACUUAAAACAUAUU